CGCACAUUGCGCCCCUUGGUAUUCCGGGGGGCAUAUCUGUUCGAGCGUCAUUAGAACCUUCAAGCCUAGCUUGGUGAUGGGCGGUCGCUCCCUCCCGGGGGGGUGUGCCCGAAAGGCAUCGGCGGUCCGGCGUGGAUUCGAGCGUAGUAAAUAUUUUCCCGCUUAGAAAAAACGCCCGGGUCGGCCAGCAACCCCAAUUCUUCAAGAAUUGACCUCGAAUCAGAUAGGGAUACCCGCUGAACUUAA
rnacentral:misc_RNA from 1 species